rnacentral:rRNA from 1 species
UACAGAGGUCCCAAGCGUUGUUCGGAUUCACUGGGCGUAAAGGGUGCGUAGGCGGUCGGGUAAGUCUGAUGUGAAAUCUCACAGCUUAACUGUGAAACUGCAUUGGAUACUAUCCGGCUCGAGGAAUGGAGGGGAGACUGGAAUACUUGGUGUAGCAGUGAAAUGCGUAGAUAUCAAGUGGAACACCAGUGGCGAAGGCGAGUCUCUGGGCCGUUACUGACGCUGAGGAGCGAAAGCGUGGGGAGCGAACAGG